AGAACCGGUUCAUUACGGGUUUGCUUAUAAAAACUUCGUUUCUCGACCAAAUCAGCCCCCACUCGUUCCCACAAACCCUAAACUGAUUUCUAAACAUUUAUAGACAAUUCCCAAUCACAUUUUGGUGCCUCAAGACACUUGCCAUUAUUCCACUAUUUUUCUGAGUUUUCCUUGCUCUUUUGGAUUGCUAAGACCCGUCGACUGCUCGUGCUUCGGAGUCGGAUCAGGUUUAGUUGCUUGUCAAGUUUUCACGUGGAUUUGCAAGCAGUGAGUUUGUACUUACUAUUUACCGCUUUAUUAAGUAAAUUGUUAUUUUAAUAAUAAAUAUAUAUACUGUACGUAUAUUUCGAACUGGUUUUAUAUUAUGGCUUCUAGUUGGAACAUGCUACCUAAUGGGCAUCAUUAGGACUGCGUGCGCACCGGUAAUGAUCUGGGAAAGGUAUUUAUGGUAAUGUGGUAACUCGGUGUGAGCAUAGCUCUCGGGACCAAGUAGAGUAACUCGGUGUAGCUCAGCUCUCGGGACUCUGGUAUAAGUGUGGUCAGUGGUAACUCGGUGUAGCUCAGCUCUCGGGACCAGACCUAUUGGAUUAUGUUUAUUAUUUAGAAUUGUGGAUUAGGGUUCCAACUAUUAUC